rnacentral:tRNA from 2 species
GCGGGCGUGGCGGAAUUGGUAGACGCGCGGGAUUUAGGUUCCCGUGUCGCAAGACGUGGGGGUUCGAGCCCCUCCGCCCGCACCA